UUGUUUGUAAUUAUGUGUCCUCAUUUCCAUAUGUAAAUCUGAUCGUUCACACCAAGUAAUAUUAGCUAAACUACUGUACUGACUGCACAACCUGACACAAGAAAGAAAAAUUUACUUGGGUGAUGGGACUGAACCUGGCAACCUUGUACGCGCUCAACGAAUGACGUCAGAGGAGAGUUUUUCGUUUUCCCCUUCAGAGUCACCUAAACAACAGGACCUGGCCUGGGACCACAGACUUGAACUGCGGCUGGUUUUGUCGUUCAUUUGAUGAGGAAAUUCAUGGAUGCGAAGCCACGGAGCAACAUGUUGAAGGCAGAAGAGAUGUCAGCAUCCACUGCUUGAUGGAGUUACUUGGAGAGUCUGGAGAGGAACUUAUUAAAGACCACCAGGAUGUCAGCAAAGAAACCAUCAAAGAGGACUCUGCUUAUCAUGUCUUUGUUGUGGAAAUUCAGCACAAGAAGGCCACAUCCCUGCCCGUGUGUCGAUCAUCAUCUGGGGAAAAGAGGUUCUUGGUGACUGUAAAAGUGCAGCAUUGGCUGCUCAUGGACUUUAUCCACACAGUGAACUGGAGUCACGAACCAAAGUUUCAGAAGCUCUUUCUUGAGCUUGAUGUUGUGAAGCUGUCUCCUAAAGUCCAGUCUUUGCACAACAAACUUCUAGCGUAAAUGUUUCCACUCAAGAUUCUCAACCAACUUCAUUGUGUUUAAAUCUUUGAAAAUGUUUUGUCUUUUAAUGACAGUUGUUAAAACAUUUGACAGUACUGGGAGCAGAACUAACUUAUGAAUGUACACAUUAUUUUUUAUUAUUAUUUCAUGUUUAGUAGAAGCCUUAUGGUAAUACAGUCUUAUUGACUAAAAAGUAGCCCAUAGUGAAAAUGCAACAAAUCCAUAUUAUAAUAGUGUUGUAGGGUAGUGGUAGAUAGAAAAAAUAUUUUGUAAAAAAUUACAAAGAAUUUUAACUGGAAAUUGUUACUGGGCUUUUUUUUUUUUUUUUUUUUUAAGUAAAUGCCAUUCCAAAUUUCUUUGAGUGCACAGAGGUCAUUCAAUGUGCUUGUUCACUAAUAGACUAAUAGAUAUCUGCCUGAUUAUCAUUUACAUUUACUCAAGUACUUAAGAACUGAGCUUCAGAAGGAAAUUUUGUAAUUCACUCUACUUAUCAGAUUGCUGUGGUGACUAUAGAGAUCAUACUAAAGUCUGAACAUUUAGGUUUACUUAAGUAUCAGCAAAAAAACACAAAAAAAUUAAAGUUCCUCUCCAGAUAUUGUUUUAAACUAUGUAAAAAUAUUCUGCCAUGAGUAAUAUUUUGUUUAACUUGGUUUUCCCAAAUAAAAAGUGAAAAAAAAAUGGAAAACUUGC